rnacentral:rRNA from 2 species
CAUGGCUCAGGAUGAACGCUAGCGGGAGGCCUAACACAUGCAAGCCGAGCGGUAUUCGUCCUUCGGGACGGAGAGAGCGGCGUACGGGUGCGGAACACGUGUGCAACCUGCCUUUAUCUGGGGGAUAGCCUUUCGAAAGGAAGAUUAAUACCCCAUAAUAUAUUUGAUGGCAUCAUCGAAUAUUGAAAACUCCGGUGGAUAGAGAUGGGCACGCGCAAGAUUAGAUAGUUGGUGAGGUAACGGCUCACCAAGUCAGUGAUCUUUAGGGGGCCUGAGAGGGUGAUCCCCCACACUGGUACUGAGACACGGACCAGACUCCUACGGGAGGCAGCAGUGAGGAAUAUUGGACAAUGGGUGAGAGCCUGAUCCAGCCAUCCCGCGUGAAGGACUAAGGCCCUAUGGGUUGUAAACUUCUUUUAUACUGGGAUAAACCUACUUACGUGUAAGUAGC